CUUCUCACUACUGCACUUGACUAGUCU
rnacentral:piRNA from 5 species